rnacentral:tRNA from 1 species
GCUGGCAUAGCUCAGCAGGUAGAGCAACUGAUUUGUAAUCAGUAGGUCCCGGGUUCGAUUCCUGGUGCCAGCA